GAGUAAAAUUAAAAAUGUGGUGUCCUAAUCUGAAUAUUAAGCAGAUGAAAGGACAAAUGGGAACUCUGUGUAAUUCAGAGACUGUGCCGCAACUGUAAAGUCAGGAGACCGACCACAUUUAAAUCCCGUUG
rnacentral:ncRNA from 2 species